CUGAGCUCAGCCCAAACGGAGACUCCUUGGAGCCCAGAGGCAGCUGCUCAGAGUGCGCCUGGGUCCGUACUGCCGGCCCUGUAGUCUCUAGAACCAGAUACUGCAUCUUGCGGGGGGCGGAGGGUUUCCCUCCGCCUGCCUGACCCACAAAGCCUGGGAGAUGGAGUCCCUGCAGUUUGCUUGUCUCUGUGAACUCUGCGACUGUGGGUAAGUGAGCGCUCGAACAGGCACAGACAGAUGCCCUUAUUUAUUUUUGCUUAAGGCUUCUAGAGCAAGAAUGGAUUCGUUUCACCCUUCUCCCCUCCACACACACCAGACCUGAUCCUAAGCAAAAGCUGCUGGCCCUGAGCUGUGCAUGUGGGCUGGAAGCCAUGGGCAGCAGAGAAGGACAGCCGCCUGCUUUAUACAGGCUCUUCGACACAAGCACCACAAGAACUGCAAGAAGUGGAGCAGGCCAGCGCCUCAGGACUGCAGGAGGCCCCAACUGUCUCAUUACAAGGCAACUUACACCCAGCCACCAAACGUGCAUCCUCGAAGCAGCAAGAGGCCGCUCCGCACCCCUCCACACCCCAACCCCCCAGCCAUGGCCUUCAGCACCACGCAGCGGGCAGAGUUCAUCCCCUGGGAGCUGGGCCAGAGGACCAAGCCGCAUGUCUGGGAGGCGUAUCAGUGCCCACAGGAGCCCUUCCAAAGCCAGAGUCUGUAUCGCCUCCACUUCCCGCCCAGGGAGCCAGUCAUGACCACCCUCCGGCAGCCCCCAACUCCCAGGCAGCCCAACAGCUCUGGUUUCCCCCACACCACCACCACCAUCACGGAGAGCUACAAAGGAUGGCGAGCGGAACGCCCAGCCUGCUAUGGAGAGCCGCCAGCCCUGGCAGGUGCUCUCCUGUCCCCUGACCAGGCAGCCGAGAUAGAAAGCACCAUGCAGCGAGAGUUCACAGAGAAACGCAUCCCCAAACCAGAGCUCGUCAAAGGAGCCCAGGUUCAGCUCACCAUUGAAGGUAACAGAGAGCACGAAAGCUUCCAGCCCCACAUGCACAUGGGCCCAGAAGCAGGGCUGCCCCCACAUCGGCUCUGCAGCACGCAGCCGCCCAGGCCGGGAUUACAUUCACUGUUGGCAUUUUAGCAAUCCUCCUCCAACACGCUCCAGUGUCGCAAGCACUGCUCUGCUGGUUUCAUUGCUUCAUUCCGCUCACCCUCCCUCUGCAGCCCUCUAACCCAGUAGUUCUCAAACUUUUGUACUGGUGCCCCCUUUCACACACCAACCCCCCCUUAAAUAUAUAUAAAAAAGUGUUUUUAAUUUAUACCACCAUUAUAAAUGCUGGAUACAAAGCAGGGUUUGGGGUGGAGACUGACAGCUUGUGAUCCCCCCAUGUAAUAACCUCACAACCCCAUGAGGGGUCCUGGCCCCCAGUUUGCAAACCGCUGCUCUAACCACCUUUGCAGGGCACAGGCCCAUUCCCUCCAUCAGUGCAUAACAACAUCCUCCUGGUCAGGGUUUGCCUGGCCUUGCACCAUUCAUAGUAUUGCCCUCCCCAGGCCCACUAGCCCCUCCUGGGCCCACCGCUGGUUAGCACUUAUGUCUACCUUCUUCCUGAAGGGCUGCAGGCUGCUUCACCCCAGCCACCGCCUUUCUCCAGGCCGUCCUCGCAGCUGCCUUUGCCAAGCCUGUCCCAUCUCCUCUCUCGCGGGUUCCUCCCAACAGAGUGCUCCACUCUCUGUGCAGCCAGCUGGGACCAGUCGCUGGCCUCGCCUCCACAUCACCUUCAGCUGCCCGGUCACAGCAAGGCUCAGCCACGCUCCUCCUAAAGGGCCAGCCUCAGACUGGGCCCUUUUCCUCUAGCACUAGCAGCUCCCAAGGUGAUACAGUCUCAGGCAGUGAUGCUCAGUCUGUACCCAGGGCCAUACAGGUGGUACUGGAUGCAGCCCACGGUGGUGCUCAGCCUGUGGCCCAAUCAGCACAGAGCUGCAGCCCAUGUGACGUCCCCAGGGCCAUACAGGUGGUAUUGGAUGCAGCCCACGGUGGUGCUCAGCCUGUUGCCCAAUCAGCACAGAGCUGCAGCCCAUGUGACAUCCCCAGGGCCAUACAGGUGGUAUUGGAUGCAGCCCACAGUGGUGCUCAGCCU
rnacentral:lncRNA from 1 species